UACGAAGGGGGCUAGCGUUGUUCGGAUUUACUGCGCGUAAAGCGCACGUAGGCGGAUUGUUAAGUGAGGGGUGAAAUCCCAGGGCUCAACCCUGGAACUGCCUUUCAUACUGGCAAUCUAGAGUCCGGAAGAGGUGAGUGGAACUCCUAGUGUAGAGGUGGAAUUCGUAGAUAUUAGGAAGAACACCAGUGGCGAAGGCGGCUCACUGGUCCGGUACUGACGCUGAGGUGCGAAAGCGUGGGGAGCAAACAGG
rnacentral:rRNA from 1 species